UGGAGUUCCUGAGUCCUACAUGUGGCUGUGCAGAGAUUGUGGCUCAUCUCACAUAUCAAGAUCAAAGCUUUUAAAAUACUUCAGGUAUCUGCAGAAUUCAGUAGGAUUACAACUAUCCCUUUGGUGUCCAAAUUUAUGGGUCAGCUGGAUCAUUUCUCAACCCAGCUCCUCAGAAUCUUCAGAAAGAAAGGAGGAACAGCAACACAGAAGAUGACAAACAUCCUGUCAGUUAUGGAUCAGAAUGACACCAUCGAAAAAAACGUGAAUGCAUCUUGAAAGCCCUUACUGUUUACAUGAACGAAGACCCCUCAAACCUUAUGAAGGAGUACUUGG